GAAGCCCACAGACCGACGCUGCUUGGCUCCCUGGAUUCAGCCUCCUUCCUAGGGAGUGACCAAUCUGAGAAACCCAGGAGCUGUGCUCCUCCGAGAAAAAGAGAAGCUGAAGAGCCCUCACUGACAUCCAAGGCACAUGGACAUACCACAGUACAGGUCCCUGCUGAAAACACAGAAAAUGCAGAAGAAUCCCCGGAACACAAGUGACCACCAGAGCGCUGUACUGCACUUUUUCUAGCCCUGCACCAAGACAGAGGCUUAAUUUAGUCCAGAGAUUCAGAAGGGAAAUCCAGAAUAAGCUAAACCUAAUGGAGUGAAAAAAGAGAACAUUCUCAUCUCUUUAGCUUUGGCAAGAUGCCAGACAACCUGUGCCAAUAUCCCAGAAUCCAUCACCUGUCGAGCUUUUACUAGAAACAUCAGGUUUCCCACAUCCUGGGGUACAAAAUUCAUCCUCAAUGCUGGUUACCUGCCCCAUGCAGAUGCUGGCAUUUAAAAUGUUUUGUCGGUGGGUCACGCCUGAAAUCCCAGCACUUUGGGAGGCCAAGGUGGGCAGAUCAUGAGGUCAGGAGAUCAAGACCAUCCUGGCUAACAUGGUGAAACUCCAUCUCUACUAAAAAAAAAAAAAAAUACAAAAA
rnacentral:lncRNA from 10 species